CAGUCGCCGCGGGAAUACGGAGGGUGCAAGCGUUAAUCGGAAUUACUGGGCGUAAAGCGCACGCAGGCGGUCUGACAAGUCAGAUGUGAAAUCCCUGAGCUUAACUUAGGAAUUGCAUUCGAUACUGGGAAGCUAGAGUAUGGGAGAGGAUGGUAGAAUUCCAGGUGUAGCGGUGAAAUGCGUAGAGAUCUGGAGGAAUACCGAUGGCGAAGGCAGCCAUCUGGCCUAAUACUGACGCUGAGGUACGAAAGCAUGGGGAGCAAACAGGAUUAGAUACCCGAGUAGUCCCUGUCUCUUAUAC
rnacentral:rRNA from 1 species